ensembl:lncRNA
UGGCUCCCGAGCAGGCCCACAUCCUCACCCUUAUCCUCAACCUCAUCUGCCUCAUCUUGGUCAACUACUUGUCUUCUACAACACCCAUGAGAAGCUCACUGCACUCUUCAGAAAGGUAUUCUUGUAAAGGCUAGGUCCUAGACCAGACCAGCAUCUUUUCUCUGGUCAAUGCAAAGACCUGCUAGAGGUGAGGUCUAGUCCAGUACCAUACCACCUCAACCACACCCUUAACCCUCUCCAAUUGGCAUACAACCCCCAACAGUCCGCCAUAUCCCACCUGGACAAGAGGAAUAUCUCUGAGAGAAUGCUGUUCAUCGACUACAGCUCAGCUUUUAACACCAUAGUGCCCUCCAAACUCGUCACUACCCUGUGCAAUUGGCUCCAGGACUUCCUGACGGGCCGACCCUAGGUGGUGAGGGUGUGUGAGUGCCAGCAGCCGUUUGCCAGGCGGGAGGAGGGUGAGCAGAUGCACCUAGGGCUCCGGGGGGCGGAGGUUACUCGCGGCCUGCUGGAGAUGGAGGCCACCUUCGGACGCAGCCUGCAGAUCCUCCAACACGUUCACAAGGGCAUCCUGAAGAAUAACUCCUGUUAUGAUGACUACAGCAGGAUCCGGAGGAGAACCUGAUCAGCACAGCGGUUGAGACAGUCAUCACCGUGGUGGAGGACUUUCAGCUGCUAGAUGUCUUCAAGCACCUUUCUGCCCGCAAGGUACAGCCCACACACAUACCAAGCACUCAUGCACGCACACACACACCAAGCACUCAUGCACGCACACACACACCAAGCGCUCAUGCACGCACACACACACCAAGCACUCAUGCACGCACACACACACCAAGCACUCAUGCACGCACACACACACCAAGCACUCAAGCAUGCAUGCACACACACACAGGUGCAUUCAAAUGCCCAUAUUCACUUCUCCAAUCCACUUGUUUUUAGGCCUGUGAUGAUAACAGCAUCACAAUAUUUUUUCUGUGUCAAAAAUGAAAACAC